AAAGGGAAUAACAUUUGAAAUGUAAGUAAAGAAUAUAUCUAAUGAAAAUAAAUAAAUUAAUUAAAAAAACAAAAAAGAAAAAAAUCAGUAGCUUUCUUCUAUUCAAAGGAAAAACAGUCUGAGAAUUUAGGGGAAUGACACCCAUCACAAUGGUCAACAAUAUUACAAAGUUCCUUAGUGUUACUCUGAACAAGCAAAUAAAAGAUUUGUAUGACAAGACUUUCAAGUCUCUGAAGAAAGAAACUGAAGAUCUCAGAAGAUGGAAAAAUCUUUAUGCUCAUGGAUUGGCAGGAUUAAUAUCAUAAAAGUGGUCAUUUUGCUGAAAGCAAUCUAGAAAUUCAAUUCAUUCCUUAUCAAAUUUCCCACUCAAUUCUUCAUAGAAUUAGAAUUAGAAAGAUCAUAUGACAAAUUCAUUUGGAAUAACAAAAAACACAGGAUGUUGAAAACUAUUAUCAAUAAUAAUAGAACCUCUGUGGGAAUCACCAUCCCUGACCUAAAGCUGAAUUACAGAGCAAUAGUGAUAAAAACUAUAUGAUAUUGGUAUAGAGACAGUCAGGUAUAUCAAUGGAAUAGAAUUGAAGACCCAGCAAUGAACCCAAAUAACUAUGGUCCCCAAAAAGAGCUGAAAUUCAGUGGUGGGGGGCCGUUUUCAACAAAUGUUGAUAGUUCAACCUGAGGUCAGCAUGUAGAAGAAUGCAAAUUGAGCAUUCUUAUCUCCUUGUACAAAGCUCAUGUCCACAUGAACCAAGGACCUCCACAUAAAACCAAAUACAGUAAAACUAAUAGAAGAGAAAGUGGAGAAGAUCCUCAAACACAUAGGUACAGGGGAAUUUUUUCUGAACUGAAAACAAAUGGCUUAUGCUCUAAGAUCACAAAUCAACUAAUGGGACCUCAUAAAAUUGCAAAGAACAGUCAAUAGGACAAAAUGGCAAUGAACAGAUUGGGAAAAGAUCAUUACUAAUCCUACAUCUGAUAGAGACCUAAUACCAAUAUAUACAAAGAAAUCAAGAAGUUUGGUUUCUCCAGAGUCAAGUCACCCUAUUUUUAAAAUGGGUUAUAGAGCUAAACAAAGAAUUCUCAACUCCAGAAAACUGAAUGACCAUGAAGCACCUACAGAAAAUUUCAACAUCUUUAGUUAUCCUGGAAAUGCAAAUCAAAACAACACAAGAUGACAACUCAAUCUAGUCAGAAUGGCUAAGUUCAAAAACUCAGGUGACCACAGAUGCUGGCAAGGAUGUGGAGAAAGAGGAACACUCCUCCAUUAUUAUAAGCUGGUACAACCUCUCUGGAAAUCUGUCUGGCGGGUCCUCAGAAAGUUGGACAUAGUACUACCUGAGGACCCAGCUAUACCACUCCUGGGUGUAUACCUAAAUGAUGUUCCAAUAAAGAAGAAGGACAAAUGUUCCACUAUGUUCAUAACAGCCUUAUUUAUAAUAGAUAGAAGGUUGAAAGUACCCAGAUAUCCUUCAAGAGAGGAUGGAUACAGAAAAUGGGGUAUAUUUCCUCAAUGGAGGAAAUUAAAAACAAUGACUUUAUGAAGUUCUUAGGCAAAUGGAUGGAACUAGGAAAUAGCAUUCUGAGUGAAGUAACCCAAUCCCAAAAGAACACACAUGGUAUGCACUCACUGAUAAGUGUAUGGUAGCCCAAAUAUUCAGAAUGCAGAAGAUACAAUUCAUAGAAUAUGAUGCUCAAGAUGAGGAUAAAACCAAAGUGUAGAUGCUUCAGUACUUCUUAGAAGGGGGAACAACCCCAGCUCUGAAAAAAAAAAAGAACCAAAAAAAAAAGAAGGGGGAACAACAUACAGGAAGAAAUAUGGAGACAAAGUAUGUAGCAGAGACUGAAGGAAAGGCCAUCCAGAGACAGCCACACAUGGGGAUCUAUCCCACAUGCAGUCACCAAACCCAGAUACAAUUGUGGAUGCCAAGAGGUGCAUGCAGAGAAGAGCCUGAUGUAACUGUCCUAAAAGCUCUGCUAGAGCCUGACAAAUACAGACGUGAAUGCUUGCUGGUCACCAUUGGACUGUGAACGUGGUUCCCUAAUGGAAGCAUUAGAGGAAGGACUGAGGUAGCUUAAGGGGGUUUGCAGCCCCAUAAGAAGAACAACAAUAUCAACCAACCAACCAUGCCUCUCCCCAAGAGCUCCUAUGGACUAAACCACCAUCAUAAGUGAGCACAGGAAUGGACCCAUGACUCCAGCAGCAUACGAAGUAGAGGAUUCCCUUAUAGGGCAUCAAUGGGAGGAGAGGCCCUUGGUCCCGUGAAGGCUUGAUGCCCUAGUGUAGUGGAAUGCCAUGGAGGGAUGAUGGGAGGUCUUGGGUUGCGGGGAGCACCUUCAUUGAGGCAGUGGUUGGGGGGAUGGGAGAGGGUGGAACUGGGAAAGUGGAUAACGUUUGAAAUGUAAAUACAUAAACUAUCCAAAAAAUGUAUUUAUGUAUUGGAUUUUUAUCCCAAUACUUUGGAAGUUGUUCUGUGAACAUUUUCAUUUAGCUGUAACUUUCAAAGGGAGGAAAUGUUUUGUGACUGCCUUUAUUGUAUGUAUAAGGCUGUAAAUAUAAUAAUACAAAAAGAAAAAAAUAGAAUAAAACAACUAUUAUAUGGUUUAUUACAUUGAUUUACUUGUUUAUGUUGGGCCUCCCCUGCAUUACAGGGAUGAAGCAUGAUGAUCAUGUUGAUGAUAUUUUUUAUUUAAUUUAAUUUUGUUUUAUUUCACUUUGGGGGGAGGUCUUCUGUCUUUCAAUCUGACUUGUGUCCUAAAUAAUAUUGGCUCGUUCAAUGGUGUUUAUGAGUGCCCCUUCUGUGUGUUUUUGUUUUGUUUUAUUUGCUUUUAAUAAUUGUAAGAGGAUUGACUGGAAAUCUUCUUUAAAUGUCUGGUAGAAUUAUGAUGUGAAUUCAUUUUUUGAUAUUCAACAUGCAUAUUUUUAUGUCUUCUUAUAUUGUCAACAUCUUGGUUUUGUUUGUUUUAGUUUGGUCGUUUGUAUGAUUGGUGGGUUAGUUCAUUGUGGUUUUGUUGUUGAUGCUAUUGUUGUGGCAAGUGGGGAGGGAGAUGAUUUCCCUCCUUCAUGAUGUAUAUUAUGAAUUUCUUUGGUGUCUAUUCUCAUACUUUCCUUUUUAUUUCUGAUUUUGUUUAUUUGGGUCCUCCCUUUUAUUGGAUUUGUUGAGUGCCUCAGACUCAUUGCUUUUUUAUAUUGUUUCCUUGGUCUAUUUUAUUGUUUUGGAGUCCGAUUUUAAUUAUUUCUUGCUGUCAUUUGGUUUUGGCUUGUUCUUUUUUUUUCCAUUUUUAUGUCGAAUUAUGAAGUCAUUUAUUCAUGUUUUUUGACUUAUUAAUGUAGAUAAUUGAACUAUAAAUUUCCCAUGCCAGACUACAUUCAAUAUGUCCUAGAAGUUUUGUACUGUUUGUUUUCAUUUUCAUUUAGCUACACGAAAUAUUUUAUUUUUAAUUACUUUUUGACCCAUUUAUCAAUCAGCAAUAAGUGGUUUAAUCUCCAAGAUUUUAUGCAUUUAUUUGAGGUUUGUUUGAUAUGAAUUUUAACUUUUAUUGAAUUUUAUUCAAGAUACAGGGCGUGAUUUCAAUUUUCUUGAAUUUGAAUUUGUUUUGUUUUAUAGGAUGUGACCUAUUUCAGAAACUUAUUGGUCUUUUACGGGCAAUAUACUACAGAAUACGUAGCUCAUUUACUAUAUGAUGUUAAAUAAUUCUUACAUUUUAAAAUUUUUUUCUAGAUGAUAUGUUUGAAAAAGUAGAGCAUUUAGAUCACCUACUAUUGGUGGAUUGGUGUUAACUGGUGUCGUUUAAUCGAUUAGUAGAUUUUUAAAGUAUUUGGGGACCAUUUAGUAUGUUUACUUUCUUGGUGAACUAUUCUCCUGAAUAGAGGGAUGAAACUCUAUAUCUUUGCAUUACUUUAGUUUAAAAUUUUAUUUUCUCAGAUAUAGAGGUAGUGAUUCCUUCUGGCUUCCUAGUUCAUUUGACUGGAACAUUUUUUUAUCCCGUAGUUUACUCUAAGGUGGUGUCUAUAUUUAAAACUCAGAUGGAUUUAUUACAAACAGAAAUAGUUGAAUUUUGUUUCUUGAUCGAUGUACAUGGCCGUGUCAUUUUAUUAACAAACUGAGGCCAUUAAUAUCUAAAGUUAUUAUAAAAUAUGUGUGUUAAUUUUGGUCAUCAUGAUUGUGUUGUUUAUUUUUGGUGGUGUUGUUUGUGUGCUCAGUUGUAUUUUGAAUUUUAAAUGUUCUGGCUUCUCAUUUUCUUCCAAAGUGUCUAUUGUAUUCUCAUUCAUCUCUUAGGUUAGAAACAAUGCUUUCUGUUUUUUCUUAAGGUUUGGUCUGUUGGAUUUUUAAAGGAUGUUUAUAUCGUGUAAAGUUUUUACUUCCUCAUUUGUAGCAGAUAGUUUUGCUCAAUAUGAUAUUCUGUGUUGGACUACACAGUCAUUGAGAACUUGCCAUGAAGUGAUCUAUUCUCCUCUGGACUUCGUUUCAUUCAGAAAUCAGUGGUUAUGUCUUCUUAUGGGACCUACAAGAUUUGUUUUUUUCUUUCUUUCUCUUUUUUAUUUUAUUUUGUUAUGUACAAUUAAUUCGGCUAUUAUAUGUCAUAAGAAUUUGAACUCCUGACCUUGUGUAUUUGUUAUUCUGUGUACUUCAUGUAUUCAUAUGUGUCUUAGUUUUGGAAAUUUUUCUUCUAUAAUUUUGUUCACUAUCUGGACUAUGUCAUUGAUUUGAGAUUCUUCUUUUUGUAUGCUUAUAAUGUAAAGCUGUUUUUAUUUUCCAUGGUGCCUGAUAGUUCCUCUGUGUUCUUUUUCUGUGUAUUUUAAAGUUGUUCAUGUUCCUUAUGUAUUUGGUCUAAUUACUCUUUUGAUCUUCAACACUUUAUAUUCUAUCUUCUGUUUGACUCCUUCUUUGUUUAAGAUUUGCCUUUGAGUUUUCUAAUUUGGCUAUUGGAUUUUUCAUUCCCCCUUCAUUUCAGCUUUAAAUCCCUUUCUAUCUUUUUUUUUUUUUACAUUUUAUUCUCACAUUCUGGAGUAUCUUUGACAUUUCCAUCAGUUUCCGUUUCUUUUUCUUUUUCUUUUUUUUUUUUCUUUUUUUUUUUUUUCUGGAGCUGGGGACUGAACCCAGGGCCUUGCGCUUGUUAGGCAAGCGCCCUAUGACUGAGCUAAAUCCCCAACCCCCCAUCAGUUUCCUAUAUGUGUUUUCCAGGGUUCAAUUAAGCAUUUGUUAAGUUCUUUUCCUGUGAUUUCAUUGGUCUCUUUCUGUUUUCUUUUUUUAAAGACCUUGGGUUUUUUUUGAGAACAUCUUUUUAUUGUUUUUUGUAAACCUCUGUGUCCUAUGAUUCAUCUAGUUAAUCCUCAUUUGUACACAUUUAUGGGGAUUAUUGAAUUUUAGACAAAAGUAUAGUCUUGAUCAUUCAUAGUGUUGGUAUUCUUGAAGUGAUAUAUUGGCAUGUGAACUUCCUUUGUUAGUUUUGGUUUUGUUGUGGAUGGAGAAGGUUUGGCAAUACGAGAAGAUGGAAAGAUGGUUGGGUACAGAGGUUGGAAAGGGCUUGGAUAGAACAAAGUCAGAUGGGCAAAGGAGGCUGGGUUGGAAUAAAGGAUGUGCUUCCUAGUCCAGGUGUAGUAUAUUGGAGUAGAAAGGUCUGAGUACAAAGUUUUGGUACAACAUCAGUCAGUGCUAAGUUUUGUGGGAUAGACACAGCGUGUGCAAAGGGGAGAACACACUUGGUUGAUGCACUGGUUGUGAGACUCAGGCUAGAUCUUUCUGACUGUAGAAAAGGAAGAAGUCAUGGUUAUUCACUGGCCUAGACCUUGGGGAAGAUGUAGAAAUCUGGAUAACAAGAGGGAUAGUUGGGCAUAAUAUAGAACCCCUUUUUAAAUACUCUAAUAAAAAGAAAACCUGAGAUAAAGCUGGACAGACUCCAUUCCCCUUAUCCUUACCAAGUAAAAGGGUAUGCAUGAAGUUGACACACAGUUAUACAGUUUGAAGCAAGAAAUAAAAUCCCAAAUCCAUCAUGAUUGUAUCAUGACAGGAAAGCAAAAGUAUAAAACGUGGCUCCCUCUGUAUUAACAGAUCAGGUAAACCAAUGCUAGCAGAUUUUUUGCUUAGAAUGAAAAGUCAAUUCCCAUUUUUUUGUGAACCCUGAGAGCUGUCCAGUUGUCAUUGUUUGUAGUUUACAGUUAGAAUUAUUCCUCCUACUCUAUCUGGUAGCUUUGAAUGUUGGCUAUUUUGAUGUGGAAUUUCUUGAGUGCGUAUAUUCUACUGCUUGCUUGAAAAAUUCUGCCUCAUCAUAUUACAUAAACUCAGUAAUCAGCAACUAUUUUAAUAUGGGACCACCUCAACAAUAACUACCUUCACAAGAAUGAAUAAAGACUUUCUAUGUCCCCAGAGUGCUGGUUAUAUUAAAAAUAUAAAAGAUAAAUUGGGUUUUUCAAAUCUUGGAAUAAUAUUGCAUUUUUAUAGCAUUGCCCCUAAAAACCCAGCAGAUAAAAUUGUGUCUGGAAGUGCAAAAGGCUGAAUUUUGAAUAAAGGAAUUUGUGUUCAUUGUGUGCAGAGCAGAGAAAGAAAGGGGGGGCUGUGGGCAAAACCAGAAAUUUCACCCACUACCCAGGCUGCUUCUUAUUAGUAUUAAUUGCAGGCUCAGUGUUAAGUCAAGUAUGUGGAGAUGUGAGUCCAUGAAUAAUAAUGGCACUGAAGCACAAUAAUUAAUAGAACAGAAUGCUCCCCAAAGAGGAGACCCCCACUGUGGAGGCAGAAAAGACGUCGUCUUUCAUAAGAGUCUGAUAUGGACAUUUGAACUUUGAUUUUUAAAGGUGGAGUGAGGUGAAAUGAAUUCCACUUCAUUAGCAAUGUGGAGUGAGGCAAACAGACUCUAGAGAAGCAGUCUUAGUUGCUAAUGCCCAGAUCUCUCCAGCACAGCCAAAGCAGGUUCUCUCUCCUGAUUCUUAUUAACAUAUGGAGGGCUUUUUGUUUUUACUCUUGUUUUUGUUUUUAAGCACAAUGAAAUUAUACAGCCCUGUUCAAACACAAAAUACAAAGGUUAGUCACCAGCUUAGAAGCUUGUAAACAUGUGACCAUACCAACAAUGAGAACUGUAACCUGAACCUAACCCUUAGGGUACCCAACUUCAGUUUUGAUUAAGCAGUGGAUGCAAGUGAGUUAGCACAUUUAGUGGGUUUUGUAUGAAGUGGAAAAACAAUCUCUUAUUUGCUUUUGUUCUCUGCCACUUGAAAACAUACACUUCACUUUGUCUAUAGAAUUUUCAAUGAAUUAAAUAUUAGAUUUAGGUUAAGGUAUAGAGUCAAUAAAAGAAAGACUGCUAUGUAGACUGGAAUAACUAACUGCAAAAUGAUAAAAAGUAUAUAAAUUUGAAAAUUCUGAAUAGAAACAGUAAGACUUUUAGCAGGCUAUAUAAAGGAAAGGGUCUGUGUUAAGAGCAUAAAUGGCUCUUUCAGAGGACCUGAUUUUAGUUCACAGAAUAAACACGCAGCAGCACAUAGCCACCUAUAACUUCAGCUCUAGGGGUCCUACACUCUCUUCUCUUUUGUAUACUCUAAGACAGAGACAAUUAAUUAAUUGGAAAUGAAAAUAAAUGUAAAGAAGUUCCUUUUAAAAAUAUCUUAGUGAGAUGGACAAUGAAUAAUAAACUACUGGAAGCAAUAUGAUCGAAGAGUAAGGCAAUCGCACGGUGUAGAUUUCAAAAUGAAACAAGAUGAUCGUUCCUGAACUAAAAAGUAACUUCUUCAAAUGCUAGAUUAUACAUUUAAAAUUAUAUGAUGUAAGCUUUUGUUCUAGGUUGGUAUUUGUUGCUGCAACAAACACCAUUACUGAAAACAACAUGUGGAGAAAAGGUUUAAUUUCGUAUUAUCAGUUAUAGUGCAUCCAUGAAGGAACUCAGUAUAGGAACUCCAGCAGAACCCAGAAACCAUGGAGAAUCAAAGAGGAGGCAGAUAGGUGGAAUUCAGGGAUGCCUGUUGGAGCCCCAAGUUCAUGCUCCUAACACCUCUUUUACUUACCUAGAUCCUGACCAACACGUUAAUCCUAUCUGUGAUGAUGACACAUUGGAGUGAUUCACAGUAUUGGAUAGCUAAGACAUCAUUUGAAAAAUGAAAAAUAAUAAACUGUUUCCUUGAGCAGGUUGAGAAGCUAAAACUACCACUGGCAUUGGACACAGUGACUACAAGAGCAAUGGUGUUGCCUUAGUGAGAGUAAGUGGAUAUGAAUGAAUUUAAUGAAAUGUGUUCAGGCGCAGGCAGAAAAUACAGUUCAGUGCUCUGGUGCAGCACGAUGCCCCAAUUCUACCAACUAACAAAUUUGCUCGAAGUGAAGACAUCCCCACUGGACAGCUGGCCUUGUGUGAGGCCAUCCACAUAAUGCACUGUGACAGAAAUUACCAUUAUAAACAAAUGAACAUUUACAAAUUGGGACAAGGGGGAAUAGUCACAAAGCUAAGAAGGCCUAGAACCUUCUGAUUGGAAACUGAUUUUCCAGAGAAAAAAAUUUUUAAAAGAUUAUAGACACUUCUAAAAAAUGGACAUUAAAAUGACUUUACGUGUAUACUAGCCUUAAUUUUCAAUGUUUUUCUAUUUUCAGAAGAAACCAUACUCUUAAAAUAAGAGGUAGUUGCUAUUUUGGAAGAUUUUCUAAAACUUUCAAGAAGUAUUAUUAUUUUCAUAUUAAAUAUAAUAUUUUUUAAUAUCUGAAAAAUCAUGUUUUAGACCUAACUUUGUGGGCCUAUAGACAGAUGCUUUCAUGAUUUAUAUUUGUGCUACAGAUUAGGUCUCCUCCACAACACACAUUUGUCACUGCCACUUGCAUCAAAGUGGAUGUGAGACAAAAGGCUAAAGCUUUCUAACAAUUGUAAAGUACCUACCAUGGCUAGAUUUUGCUAUUUUAUAUUUAACAUUACUUAAUUACUUAAUCAAGUUGAUAAGGAAAGUUUCACUUCAGAUGAGACUGAACCAGAACAGGACAAAAUUUUCAUCCAAUACUUAAGAUUUCUUGUUGUUCACCCAACUUUCAUUACCAUGUAUCAAUUCUUUGUUUGUUUGUGUGUGUGUGUGUGUGUGAGAGAGAGAGAGAGAGAGAGAGAGAGAGAGAGAGAGAGUCUGUGAAGUUAGAUUAUAUUCUCUUUGUAUGAUUCACUACUGUAUUUACUACACACAUGUUGUGUGAGAUGGAACUGUCCUUCCUAGGGAGGAAUAGAAGAUGUAUACCAUUCUCAAUGCUCAUUCUUUUCAUGAAAGCCAAUCUUAGAACACACUCCAAGAUGUUGGGUUAAGAACAAGUGCCUACCCACACCUCUUUGCCCAAACAUAUAUAUGUAUGUGUAUAUGUAUAUGUAUAUGUAUAUGUAUAUGUAUAUGUAUAUGUAUAUGUAUAUGUAUAUGUAUAUGUAUACGUAUACGUAUACGUAUACGUAUACGUAUACGUAUACGUAUACGUAUGUGUAUGUGUAUGUGUAUGUGUAUGUGUAUGUGUAUGUGUAUAUGUAUAUGUAUAUGUAUAUGUAUCUGUAUAUAUAUAUGUAUAUAUAUGUCCAAUUUGAUAUAUGGAAAUUGUGCCUGUUUCUCAAUUGUGAAAUAAAGACACAGCUAUCGUUGAAACUCUUCGAAAUUAAAUGUUCAAACCACAUUCAUUUUCACAUCUCUCACCAGGCUUAUCCUUGUACAUAAAAAUAAUUACAGAUUUGUAAAAAAUAUUCCUUAGGUGUCAAUUAUCUUGGACUGUGUAAAAAAUUCUCCAUGCUUAGAGAAGACAAAUUUGUUUUUUCACAAUUAUGGAGGCUAGAAGUCUGGGUACUGGGUAGAAGAUAGCCUGGGCUUAGGAUCACCUCUUUUUCUGACGUACGGAAAGCUGCUACCCAAAUCCUAAGAUGCAGGCAGAUAUAUGCCACGUUCUUUCAUCCAAACAGACCUGUUUCUUUACAUAAGGACCCCUCUUACACAUUCCCUUAAACUUAACUACCUACACGGAGGUCCUCCUUUUAAUAGGAUCACAUGAAACUUUAGGACAUCAAUACAUGAGUUUAAAACAAUAAAUCCUGUCCCAUCAUAAAUAUUUCCUGCUUUAUACAAGCUUGUAUUACAAGGUUUGUUCAGAAGGACUUAAAUCCUUCUAAUCAGCAGAACUUAUUUUUAAUUCACACUAAUUGUAGUUUUGACAUAAUUAUGAGUCCAAUUAAAAAAUCAAUAAUGGAAUAUUGCUGAUCAUCCUGUCUCAUAAUAAAUAUAUUUGUUGUUUUGUAUUUUUAAUAUUUACUGUUAGACACAAAAAUCACUGUUCAUUUCCAGUUGAUAUUAGAAAGCUUACAUAUUUCUUAUAACAGGGUGACAGAAUUAGACAAAAAACACAUGAAUGUCAUACUCAAACAUGCCAUGAUUGCACAGAGUAAUAGGAAUGUAAUAAGUUGAUUAAUAAGAGGAGGCCCACAUUAAAUAUUCUAGGAUAAAAAUAUUAAGUAAACAUGUUUUGGAGCAGUUAGUAAUUCAAAUUAUAGUUCUAUACCCAAAAGAUAAGAAUCCAUUUUGAGGUCAUGAUAACCUCUAUAUCUUCUAGCUAACCAGGAGUGAAAAGAAACAGGAAACAUGUCUGUUUCCUGUAGCUGGAGAAUCCAAAGAGAAGUAGUCACACAGGAAAAAGGAAGAAACUGUCUUUAAAUCUACAGAAAAUACCAGUGGUUAAGUACACCAGCCAAACAUCAGCAUGUGCCAUUCAGAUGGGGGUCUUAUUAAUAUUUAAAUGGAAACUGAGUGGAAGCUAAGAACUCUGCCUCAAAGAAAAAGGACUAUAAUUUUCAGAAUGUACACUGGCAAAGAAUUGAAAGUAGAGAAUGUCAUUAAUAGUCAUUCCAUUUUUUUUUGUCAGUCAUAAAGACAAAGUUCCUAAAGUUAUAUUGUGUUCUGUCCUUAGGUAGUUUAUUUCAGCUAAGCUAGAUCACCAUAUUGAUUGCUUCAGAAAUCAACAGGUCCAGGUCUGUAUAAGCAAAAGACAGGGCAGACUUUUUCAACUGGAAGGUGGUUGUAGGAUUUCUUCCAUCACCCAGGUGAAAUAAUUAGUCAAAUUUCCUACAUGUACAUAAUUUUUAUUUUUAUUUUUCUACCAAGGUACCUAACAUGUGGGAGUUUGUCUCAGAAUGUCCUCACAUAGCAGCUAAAAUAAGGAGGAAAAGUGGGUGUAAACUUUUUUUCAAGGCUUUUAACAGAUGAGGAGACACAUAGAUUUACUCACAUGUGUAAGAGUGAAAUAAAGCACCAUUCUGGUUCAUUUAGUGGCUUGAAGCUUUGAUAUUGCUGUUCACUUGACGACCUUAAGUGAAAGGUCAAUGUGUGAUGAUUUCAACAACCAUCAGAUGGCUCUGAUCAGUACUGCCCUUGUGAGCAUGUAUUGGUGAAGCUCUGGCCAAAGCAUGAUAUAACCACACCAAAGCAAGUGAGGUAGCUGCUUCUGUCUCAUUGCUUCUCACAACUGCUGAUGAGGUUCUGUGGGAACAUAGGAACAGAAUAGGAACAGAAGGAGGAGAUGACAGGAUGGCAUUCUAUAUCACACAAGAAGAAAGAACGAUCUCCUCACAGGAGAGAUGUGAAUAAACCUGGGGUGGGAUUGCCUGAGGUGUGGCCAAUAAUUUGAAUAAUAUCUACCUCUCUAGUAGCCUCUGGAUUAGCCCAGCUUUGAAACACUUUUGGACUAUAUAGUUGAAAAAGAAGUGCUAGACCUUGUAGGUGUUAAGACCAUUGAAAAUCCUCAGUGAGAAGUUAGGAGCUGGGGUGAAGGCUGAGUCAGUAAACUGCUUGUUGCAUGAGGAGAAGGACCAGGCUUUCAUUAUCAGGUUUCCACUUAAGAAGUCAGGUUUGGCACUUUGUAUUGAUAAUCCACUCUGCUCUGGAGGCAGCAAUGAGAUUCCUGAGCCUUGAGAUCCAGACGGUUGAGACUCUCAAUGAAAUCCAAGUUCAGUGACAGUCCCGUGUCUAAACAUCGGGCAAGGAACAAUUGAAGAAACAUGUUGGUCUGUCUUCUUCAUUGUUUACCAACACAAACACAACUUAAAUACAUAUGUAUAUACACACACACAGACAUACACACACACAUACACACACACACACACACACAAAUACAUAAAAGGGGAAAGAAAGCAGGUAGAGAGGGAGAGAAGGGUAAGGGAAAAGGAGAGGGGGAAAGAAAUAAGUAGGUUUUGCUUCUAGAAGCCAUUUCUGGUCUCAUAAAGAAGCAGGACAUGUGUGGUUCUAUGCUUCCACCUCACAGAAAGGUGUCAGGACACCACACAGGUUGGCAAAACACAGAGGUGACAGCCUAUGUUCCUUUUUUUCCUGUUGCAAUUUUUGGCUCAUGGGUGCCAGCAUGCCACUGAAAGGAGAUAAAAGUCAGCCUAAGAUGAGGACCUCAUCCUGUGCUUCUCCAGGUGAGAUGAUGAGGGGCUAGGGCAAGGCUGUGGUUCUUAAGCUUCUGGGUACCCAGAUGUUGCUGGUAACCUUGAAGACUUGAGACCUGGUGCUGCAGGCCUGAUAUGAGCACCAGGAUGGGGUGAAUACGCCUUAGCUCAGCGUGUUCCAGAAGCCCAGAGAGGUUUACUGUGGAAGACUUACAUACAUGCUGCUCAGUAUGAAAGAAAUCGUUUUCCAAGGCAGUCCUUGAAGAAGGAGAAAGUCAUUGUUUAUCCAUACUGCUAAUUCAUGAUGAAAAACAGAGGCAUAUGACUUACUGAGAAUGGACCAGAGAUUAAAUACCUUCUGCAGAAAGGAAUGUUCAGGAAGGGAAGCCUCUAGGUUAAACCCUGGAACCCUAUUUAGAUACCUACCUCAUUAGCAUGGAUAAUUCUGGGUUUCUAUUCUAUGUGACCAGUUGUCAUAAUCCACUUAGUGGGGUGCCAUGGUCAUGUGCUCCAGGACAGGAAUCUGGUCAGACCAGAUUCAAACACCUACCAUUCUCAAGUAUGAGAAUUGCUGGGGUUCCUUACUCUGCUUGACCUUAACAGUUCUUCUACCUAGUGACAUGAUUCAUUCCACCCCACAGACAUGCUUAAAGCUAAUGUCAUAUUUUGGCAUGUUGAUAAGCCUGAAUUUUAAGAUCACAGAAAGUGUCCAGAUUUGAAAAGUAUCUAAACUAUGGCCCUUGACUAUAUUAUGCCAGCAUAUUGUCUCAUUUUCUGAUGCUGUAAUAAAUAAAUACUUUGACAAAGUUAAUUGAAUGGAGAAACACAUAUUUGACUCACAGUUCAAACUUAGAGCCCAUCAUUGAUGAAAAUCCAGGUACAGGAACUUGAAAAAGCUAUUCAUACCACACAUGGAGCACAGAGCAAUGAAUCAGCGCAUGCUUCCCAGUGCUCCGCCUGUUUUAUCCUGCAGUUCAAGGCCAGCCCAUGAUGUUGUCCAACCAAUAUCCAGGUUUAUUCCACCUCAACUAACCUAAAUAAUAUUAUGUCUCACAGGUAUCCACAAAGUCAACACUUUCAUCCCAGAUGAAGGAAUUGAAGUCUAGCAGUGCUACAUGGAAUUUUUGAGCAUGGCACACAUACAAAUGUUCUCCAAAGCAAACCAAGAAAACAGAAAAUUGAUGGUUGGGGCCUGGGAUCAUGAUUCUACAGUAUAAUCUACUAUGCUGCCAUUUAAUAAGACAGGAGCAACUGCAGCAUCCUCAAAGAAACAAAAGUAUUCAAGAUCUCUCAUACAUUAAUUUGGGCACUAUUGAAAGGAGAAAAAAAGUGGACUUGGUGAACCAUUUGAUGCCAUGAACUGUAUAUGAUCAUAAACUCUGGCCUGUACCUAGCAAAGUAGAUAGUGCAAGAGAAAUGUCAAUAUUAAAUUCAGGCUCACAACAAAGGAGAAUGCUGACAGCAUGCAGCCUGAUGUGAGCACAGAGACACUUGAAAGUUUUUUGCUUCAUGAUAUGGACACUUUGAUUUUCUCUUCUCAUAGAACAGUCAUUUUCAAAGGUGGAACAAUGGACCAAGCAUAAGGGUGAAGGGAAGUCUGUGUCUAUCUCCAUGCCUCAAGCUCAUGCCUGUACUACUUCCUGCAGUUCAGGUGAAUGGUUUCUACAAGCAGCAAGAGUGAGUGUCAGAGCAGAAAAGGAAUGGGCAUUUUCUGUGAGGGUGAAUUAUAAGGAAUGAACUCAGGUCUUCAGUAAGAAGCUUUAGCAACUGAGCUAUCCCUGUCUUUCCCAUUUCUUGACAGGGUAAUCUGGAAAGGGAAUUGUUUCACAUUUCUCAUCUCUGCCAGAGGAUGGUGUGUGACCCUGGGAGGGGGUGUGCUACACACGUAUAUGACAGAUCACAGCAUCACAGUAGAUAUCCCUCCAACGUUACUCAAAAGUUCUGGAUUGCUGUUGUGUGUCAAGAUUUUACUGGGGAGAGGAUACACAUAUCUACUCACAGCUACUUUCCUCUGAUACGGAGCCCAGGAUGGACUAAAGUACAACUUGAUGAAACAGUCUCAUGUUUAAAAGAGUCCCUAUCUUGUGAUGGUAGCACUGUCUUCAAGGGGGAGAGGCAGGACAAAUACGGACAAGGACAAGUCAGGUCAUGGGCAUUUGAUUCAUGAGAACCUUACUCUCAGACCUCAGGGAUCUCAACAGGCUUCUCCAAGCAACAUUUCUGUUCAUGGGGACAAACCUCACAGAGCUGCCACACUCGAUGAAUUUUUAUCAAAUAGCACAUAAAUAAAUAACAAUCUGUGAGCCU